GUGGCGUUCUCCUAUGACGUUGGGUUGGGCCUUUGGGGGUCGUUUUCUCUUUUAGUUCACUAGUUGCCUGGGAGGAAUAAGCAAGCAUGAAAAAUGAUUAAUCCAGUCCUAGUUUCAACAUGUUUGAAGAAACAAGCGUCAUAUAAGGAUUGCCGAAGGAACUGGAAAAGGUGCAAUUGAAAGAAGUGCCAAAGACUGAAGGCGAUGCUGCGGUUCAGGCCGAAACUAGAGAGGUAGGAAUGUUGGAUGGUUUAGGGAGUUUCGAAUCAAAUGAAGGGUCGAGUGCCAACAAGAGGAAGAGAGAGGAGGAACCAGAUGCAAAGGGAGUUCUCGAGGUUUCACCUUCGAGAAGACUCUCAGACAGUGAUGAUGGAGAUUUCCCCUGAUAGGGAAAACAUUGAUACCCAAUAUGCUUUAACUACUGUCGCUAUAGGUGGAAGAGACCCUGAUUUUACCGAGGUUCAAUAACACUGAAAUGUGAAUGUAACCCAAACUGAGGACACCGGAAUACUGGGAAACUUUACAGGCCGCCAAGAAGAUGCUGAUGUGAGGGAGAACGAAAAUCUUGAAGCUGUGGCCUGUGGGUGAGCACGAUUGUCUGUCACCAGUGAUGAAUAGAGAGAGAGAGAUGCCUUACUCAAAGAAAGCCGAACAAAAGCUCUCAACAUUGCAUUAGAAAGCUUGCGGAAGGUUAAAGUAAGCAGUAUAACCCCAUCUGCAUCUGCUCCUUAUUUUUCACUGUUACAGAAGGGGGGGAUUGAUCUUCAAAUGAAAUUUCAUUUAUGAUCUAACUACUACAAAAAUAAUUAGUCUCCGUAGUUUGGAGGAUGAGAUCAAAACCAUCCUCUCCUAAAACCAACAGUUUUUUUCAAAACAGAGCGACUUGAUAAAAAUGUUCUCAACGCAAAAAAGAAUAUCCUUCCACCAGCUUGACAAACCAUUCCAGCAAUCCUACGUUUACUUGUUCCCCUUAACAACAGGUUUUCCAACAUUCUAUGCCUUGGCAGGCUCCACAGCAGCAGGAGCAGGAGCAACACCACCAGUAGUUGGCCUGGAAGAUUGCAGAAAAAACAUUAGCAUAAACCACAAAAGCAUGUAUAUUAACCGAGUCUAGUGCUGGGAAGAACUUACAGCCCCACAAACACUUUGAAAGCAUCAUAGAUACCCCACUGAGCUCCAGUUAGAGUUCCAAUCAUCACAAUACGGAGGGGAAGACCACGGGUAAACAGACCCCAUAAUCCAAGCUUCUUCACAGCCUACAUUGCCAAGAGAUAGUAGAAGGGUCAAGGCAAAGUUAAACACUGCUUCAUAAAUGAGAAUUAAAUAUCAAGCGGAUCAUCCAAGGCACAGAACUUACAUCCCCAACAGUUGCUCCUUUGGCAUUGUUAAGGAAGGAGACAAGGUUGUCAGCAGGAUGCGAAACAAUAGCACAGAAGACACCAGCAACAUAACCACCAGCAAAACUAACACCAAGCUGCAGAUUUUUGCUGCACUGCUCCUUGGGAGUGGGAAUACCAUACUUGUAGAUCAUCUCAACAAUAGUUUCAAAAGAAGCAAAUUUCAUCAUGGUAUCUGAAACAAAGAAAGAUCAAAUAAAUACUCUUACACUUCGCUGCA